ensembl:lncRNA
UUUCAUUCGAGUGGAGUAUAUUUGGUUGGGCUGCAAAUUCAGAUAACGUACUAAUACGAAGAGCCAUGAAGUUCUUCAACAGCCUUUCAGUAUGAAUAGUGAUCAUAAAAUAAUGAAGCUCACUACUUUUAAGAUGGACUUCAAAUCCAUAUUAUUUUUCUCCCUCAGUGCUCCAUGACCUUUACGAAGAGCAAAAAAGGAAAGCAUUACUUAUUCAUUCCAAAAUGUUAAAGGCUUACCAGAGCAGGAGCACAUAACAUUGGAUGUGACUUCUUCCACAUGAAUGCAAGCAAAAUAAGCCAGUUUUCCUCCUUUCCCCAAAUGAAAGCCUCCUCAAGUAACUGAAAAUGGAUGCUCAUUUUCAAAGAAAUAUCUUCAAGAUGAAGACAGAUUGCAUGUUUGAGCUUUGAGAAUUAUCACGCACUUCUUGACGAGGGGAUGGAAACUUCUUUUUCAUGGAAAUGAGCAGCAGUGAAUCACCAGAGCCAGCCAGGUUACCCAGAGCCCUCCCGUCUCUUUGUCCAGUGCUGCAAAACUUGGAUUUUCUAAGGACGAGAGGCAGAUGGCAUCCAGGUGCUUGGUACUGCGGAGUAAGCUUUCCUGUAUCCUCUUAAUCAGCAAUGCAGCACGCUCUGCCAAUGUAUCGUGUAUUUCUUCUUCUCCCCCUGUCAGUCUGUCUAGGAGAAAGCCAUGGAAAUAAUAGAAUCUGCACUUGUCAGGCUGACCUCAAAAUCAAAUUCUCUCUUGAUUUGUAAAAUUCAGCCAACCUACUUGAAAGUUGAUUCCACCACUUACUCCUGUCACUCUCUUUUCUCUACUUACUGAGUACACCACUCUUUUUUGUAUCUGAAAUGCAUGUCAGCAGACAUUAUGUUUGAGUUCAUAUAGUGUGAUAGUCCAAUAGAGAAAUACAAUUUUAGAAAUUGCAGUUAUUCCUUUAGAAAUCAGCUAGUCAGGGGAAAGGUGGCAGGAGAGCUGAGAGGAGAGACCUAAAGUGGCUGCUGCAGCUGUUUGGCUAAUGCAGGGGAAUUCUGAGGCAAUAUAGAUUUUUACAGGUCAUUUCUGAAUAGCAAGGGUACACAGGUGAGAAAGUAUCUGGGCUUUAAUGACAGCUUAGCCUCCGUUUUGUAUUUUGAGUUCAGGAAAGGUAGGUAAUCAAUCUGUGCCUCAGUUCUUUGUCAAUAAAACCAGGGUAAGAACACA